rnacentral:RNase_P_RNA from 1 species
GGAGUUGGCCAGACAGUCGCUGUACCUUCGGGUAUGGAGGAAAGUCCGGGCUCCAUAGGGCAGGGUGCCAGGUAACGCCUGGGCGGCGUGAGCCGACGGAAAGUGCCGCAGAAAAUAUACCGCCGAUGGCCCUUUCGAGGGUACAGGUAAGGGUGAAAUGGUGCGGUAAGAGCGCACCGCGCCGGUGGCAACACGCGGUGGCAGGGCAAACCCCACCCGGAGCAAGACCAAAUAGGGGAACGAUGGUGCGGCCCGCACUGUUCCCGGGUAGGUCGCUUCAGGUGUCCGGUGACGGGCAUCGCAGAUGAAUGGCUGUUCAAGACAGAACCCGGCUUAUCGGCCGACUCCACCU